ensembl:lncRNA
GCAGGAUUAAUAAAAUUAAAAGAACACAGAAACAUAUUUUGAGACGCAUUUUUGGGACUGAGAUUAAAACAGAGUGAUGAAUAAGAAGCACUCUUGGGAGAAGCCGAGGAAUAUUUUAAAGGUGGAAACUGCUACCUCGGAGAUUUUAAAUUUGGCACAUUCGACAUUUCUCAAGGAGUCUCUACAUGCUACAAAUAGCCAUGACAUAAAGACCACAGAGAACUGUAUCAGAGGGAGCCAGGUUAGCUUUCUGAGUUCUGAGGCCUCGCCCUUCAGGGAUGUUGGACUGCAUGCUCCAGUUGAGGCCAGCACCGAGCAAACCAACUCUAGAUGGGGACCAACAUGCACUCUCAAAAGGUGGGAGGUUAAGUAAAUUUUUUUGGCAUUUUUAAGUCUUUAAAGAUUCACUGUGAUAUUUUGACUACCUACCCCAAGUCUGGAAAAUUGCUCAGUUUAUGGGCCCGUGGUCUAUAUGCUUAGCUCUUUAUGGUACUUAUAUCCACUGAAUGAAGAUAUGUGCUGAUUUUGAUAUUACUACACUUAACCUUCCAUGUAAUAGGUGCUUUAGAAAUUAUUGUUCAUUAUGUAUUCUUCCAGGAAUUUAAUAUAAUCUAGGGCCAUGGUGUUAUAUAACACAGAGCAAUCAACGUUUUCUCUCCUGUCAUGAGUUUAAUUGCUCAAAAUCCGUAUCUUAAAAUUUAUGGAAAAGUGAGAACAGUGCUAAGGUAAGUAAGGAGGAAAAGAACUUUUGAAAAUAAAGCAAAAAGAAAUCUGACUGGUGUUCAGAUUCUGUUUAAAACAUUAACCGCGCUUUGGGUGUUUCUAGUAAAUAUUUAGCUGUCUACUUGUCAAUGUCUUUUUGAAAAUAAAGUCAACAGAGAAAACAGAUUCUAAAACUAAAGUAAGGGAGGAAAUAAUUGGUGCACAAUAUCUUCUCCCCAGCUAAUCUACAUAUGUGUCUAUCCCUGGGCCCUGAUGACUUGCUUUCCACAGUACAGUAAGAAUUGAUUGAAGCAUCAGGAAACCAGCUGUGUGCAGAGACUUCAUAGAGAGCUGGUGAGGUAUUUAAGACUGGGGGUGGACAUGCAGGUAAGGGAAAAAUCCUACGUAUUACUUCUCUUCUAUUUAAAACAAAGGAGAGAUUACUCUGGAAAAUACCAUUGCAUAAAAUUAACUUCUCUGCCCUGAUAAGGAAGAGGAUGGGAGAGUAAAGGCAGAAGAACUGUCACCUGAUCAGCUGUCUUCUUUGGCUCCUUUGGAUGAUCUCAGUCUCUUCCUCCUCAGCACCCUCCAGCACUGUAAGCAUAACUUAUGCAGGACAUGUUGCACUGUGAUUGUAGUUAAGAGACUGAGAUACAGCUCUGUAUCUCUGGCCCAUUGCACUAUGACUGGCACUCAGUAAAUGUUGAAUAUAAAAUGCAUAAAGUCAACUUGAAGACAGAAUUUAAGAGCUAUAAGAUACAGCAAAUGCAACCACAUCCAAAAUAAACAUGGAAAGGUGAGACUUCAGUUAGACGCAGAUUCUGUUCUGGGUCCAGUGGAACAGCUGAAGGGACAAAGAAGAGGUUUCAGCACCCCGAAUCCUCCGUCCUCCAUGAGGAUGCUAAAGCCAUGCUGGCCACAUUAUGCACACAGAGUUGGAAUCUGGACCUGGGGAAAACUAAAGGCUUACAUAUCCUUGUCUACUUGAACUUGAGGUCCUAUUUCUAAUUAUAGUGGUCCCAAGACACAUGAACAAGUGGAAAGAAUAUAGAACUGAAAGUUAAAGCUACAUGGAUUCUCUGCUUAGCCCUAUCACAGUAGCCUUGCACGAUACAUUUUACCUCUCAGAUCAUUAGCUCCCUCAACUAUAACAUGAGAGAAUUAGACUAGAUGAACUCUUAAAUUCCCUACAGGGAAACUCUAGAAUUGCAUAGGCCCUCUCUCUGUCUAAGUUCCAUUCUUUUACAAAAAUACUUUCUGAAAAGUUAAGAUAUAGAUGGAAUUUGGAAUUAGAAAAUAAAUAGAACACCUUAGCUGAUGUUAAAAACAAUUUAGAGUUUGAUAUACAAAAAUGAAAGAAGAAAAAUGUUAAGAGUCUCAGCAAGGUGGAAUGAAUUAAUCAUAGUAGACUGGGUCAUGAAGAGGGGAUCCCCAUUAAUUGUCUCUAAAAUCUCCUGAUCAUUGAAUAGAACAAAAACAUUUUGACAAGAUUCUUAGGCAAUAAGAAAGCAUGUUCUUGGGAAGGGGCAAGAAGUAUCCAUCCCAUUUCAUACAAAAGGAAACCAACAUGCGCAAAGGAAAGAUAACUCACUCAGGAUCACAUUGUGAAGAUGAAGUCAGGCCUGACACCAAGUUUUCCUGCCUCCCACCCAAUUAUGUGUCUGAAUUUGUUGGAAACUACCACUGCUUCCAAUGAACUUGAGAAUGUGGUACCAUGGCCCAGGGGAAUUGGGUAGGCCCCUGGCCAGCUGGACUUUCAUAAGCUCUGCUGAAAUCACACUUGCUAAAAAUUUCUGUAAUGUUGAUCACUAGAGAAAGUGACUACAUGUACAACCCAGAGAGACUCUAGAAGAUUUCCUACGGUCAAAGACACUUCACUGGGCCUUGGUCGAGAAAUCUGGUUUCCAUUCCUUCAUCUAUCACUUUAGGAUUUUGCACAUCAAUUUCCUUUAGGAAUCAAAAGGCUUAUUAGAGAAAUUUAUAAAGUGUAAACUCAUCCUAGAUCAAUAUACAUGAAAUACUAUCAGAAGAAUUUUUGUUUGAUAUUACUAAUUAUCUAAAGAAAUUACUUUUAUCUACUUUUUAA